UACGGGGGGGGGUAAGCGUUGUUCGGAAUUACUGGGCGUAAAGGGCUCGUAGGCGGCCAACUAAGUCGGACGUGAAAUCCCUCAGCUUAACUGGGGAACUGCGUCCGAUACUGGAUGGCUUGGAUUUGGGAGAGGGAUGCGGAAUUCCAGGUGUAGCGGUGAAAUGCGUAGAUAUCUGGAGGAACACCGGUGGCGAAGGCGGCAUCCUGGACCAAUAUUGACGCUGAGGAGCGAAAGCCAGGGGAGCAAACGGG
rnacentral:rRNA from 1 species